CAGCAGCAGCUCCUCCCGGGGUCUUCCAGCUCCAUGACCCUCACACUAGAACAGCAGCAGCAGCUCCUCCCGGGGUCUUCCAGCUCCAUGACCCUCACACUAGAACAGCAGCACCGGCUCCACCCUGGGUCUCCAGAUCCAUGACCCUCAAAAUAGAAUGGCAUCAUCAGCUCCUCCCUGGGUCUCCAGCUCCCAAACCCUCAAACUUCAACUAACACAGCAGAUCCUCCCCACAGUUAAACAGCAGCACGGGCUGUUCCCCAAAGCUCCAGAUACACGACCCUCAGUAGCACUGGCUCCUCCCAAGGUCUCCAGUUCCAUGACCCUCAAACUACACAGCAGCACCGGCUCCUCCCCAGGUCUACAGCUCCACCACCCUCACACUAGACACCAGGACUACCUCCUCCCCGCUCUCCAGCUACACGACCCGCAGAUUUGAACAGCAGCAGCGUCUCCUCCCUGUACCUCAAGCCCCAUAACCCUCAUAUAUGAACAACAGCAAUACCAGCUAAUGCCUAGGGCUCCAGCUCCAGGAUCCACAGAUUUAAACUGCAGCACCAGCUCGUCCAAGGAUCUCCAGCUCCACCACCCUCAGACUAGAACAAGACCUCUACUCCCUGGGUCGCGAGCUUCCGGACCCUCGAACUAUGAAAACAUUGCUCCUCCCUGGGUCCGCAGCUCCACGACCCUCAAACCAGAUCAAGAUCUCUCCUCCCUGUGUCGUCAGCUUCCUGACCCUUGAACUAUGACAACAUUGCUCCUCCCUGGGUCAGCAGCUCCACAACCCUCAAACCAGAUCAAGAUCUCUCCUCCCUGGGUCGCCAGCUUCCUGACCCUCGAACAACAGAAACAUUACUCCUCCCUGGGUCAGCAGCUCCAUGAUCCUCAAACUAGAAUGAGACCUCUCCUCCCUGCGUCGCCAGCUUCUGGACCCUUGAACUAUGAAAAUAUUGCUCCUCCCUGGGUCGGGAGCUCCAUGACCCUCAAACUAGAACAAGACCUCUCCUCCCUAGGUCUGCAGCUUCCAGUCCCUCAAAUAACAACAUUGCUCCUCCCUGGAUCUGCAGCUCCACGACCCUCAGACUAGAACACGAUCUGUCCUCCCUGGGUCACCAGCUUCCGAACCUUCGAACUAAAACAACAUUGCUCCUCCCUGGGUCUGCAGCUCCACGACCCUCAAACUAGAAAAAGACCUCUCCUCACUGUGUCGCCAGCUUCUGGACCCUCGAACUACAAAAACAUUGCUCCUGCCUGGGUCUGCAGCUCCACGACCCUCAAUCCAGAUCAAGAUCUCUCCUCCCUGUGUCAUCAGCUUCCUGACCCUCGAACUAUGACAGCAUUGCUCCUCCCUGGGCGCACCCUCAAACUAGAACAAGACCUCUCCACCCUGCGUCGCCAGUUUCCGGAGCCUCAAACUAAAACAACCUUGCUCCUCCCUGGGUCUGCAGCUCCACAACCCUCAAACUAGAACCAGACCUCUCCUCCCUGUGUUGCCAGCUUCCUGACCCUUGAACUAUGGAAACAUGGCUCCUCCCUAGGUCUGCAGCUCCACGACCCUCAAACUAAAACAAGAUCUCUCCUCCCUGGGUCUGCAGCUCCACGACCCUCAAACUAAAACAAGAUCUCUCCUCCCUGUGUCAUCAGCUUCCAGUCCCUCAAAUAACAACAUUGCUCCUCCCUGGGUCUGCAGCUCCACGACCCUCAAACUAAAACAAGACCUCUCCUCUCUAGGUCUGCAGCUUCCAGUCCCUCAAAUAACAACAUUGCUCCUCCCUGGAUCUGCAGCUCCAUGACUCUCAGACUACAACAAGAUCUCUCCUCCCUGGGUCACCAGCUUCCGGACCCUCGAACUACGAAAACAUUGCUCCUCCCUGGGUCUCCAGCUCCAUGACCCUCAAACUAAAACAAGAUCUCUCCUCCCUGUGUCAUCAGCUUCCAGUCCCUCAAAUAACAACAUUGCUCCUCCCUGGGUCUGCAGCUCCACGACCCUUAAACUAGAACAAGACCUCUCCUCACUGUGUCGCCAGCUUCCGGACCCUUGAACUAUGAAAACAUUGCUCCUCCCUGGGUCCGCAGCUCCACGACCCUCAAACUAAAACAAGAUCUCUCCUCCCUAGGUCUGCAGCUUCCAGUCCCUCAAAUAACAACAUUGCUCCUCCCUGGAUCUGCAGCUCCACGACCCUCAGACUAGAACAAGACCUCUCCUCCCUGAGUCACCAGCUUCCGAACCUUCGAACUAAAACAACAUUGCUCCUCCCUGGGUCCGCAGCUCCAUGACCCUCAAACUAGAACAAGACCUCUCCUCCCUAGGUCUGCAGCUUCCAGUCCCCAAAUAACAACAUUGCUCCUCCCUGGAUCUGCAGCUCCACGACCCUCAGACUAGAACAAGAUCUCUCCUCCCUGGGUCACCAGCUUCCGGACCCUGGAACUACAAAAACAUUGCUCCUCCCUGGGUCUGCAGCUCCACAACCCUCAAACUAAAACAAGAUCUCUCCUCCCUGUGUUGCCAGCUUCCGGACCCUCGAACUAUGACAACAUUGCUCCUCCCUGGGUCUGCAGCUCCACGACCCUCAAAGCAGAUCAAGAUCUCUCCUUCCUGUGUCAUCAGCUUCCUGACCCUUGAACUAUGACAACAUUGCUCCUCCCUGGGUCUGCAGCUCCAUGACUCUCAAACUAGAACAGCAGCACCAGCUCCUUCCUGGACCUCCAGGUCAAUGACUCUCAGACUUCAAAGGCAGCAGCAGCUCCACCCCCAGGCUCCAGCUCUAAAACCCUCAGAUGUGAGCAGUGGCAGCACCAGCUCCUUUCUGCGUCUCCGGCUUCAUGAUCCUUAAAUUAGAACAGCAGCGCCAUCUUCUCCCUGCGUCUCCAGCUCCAGGAACCUCAAACUGCAACAGGAGCACCUGUUCCUCUGGGAUUUUCACCUCCACGACCCUGAGGUGUCAGUGGCAGCACUGGCUCCUCCCCUGGGCUGCAGCUCCAGAACCCUCAAGAAUAAUCCCUUCUCAUGAAAUGUAGCAGUCAGGAAAACUGCAGAGGAAGUAAAUAAAUAAAUGUUUUCUUUCAAAC
rnacentral:lncRNA from 1 species